GACGAACGCUGGCGGCGUGCUUAACACAUGCAAGUCGAACGGAAAGGCCCUGCUUUUGUGGGGUGCUCGAGUGGCGAACGGGUGAGUAACACGUGAGUAACCUGCCCUUGACUUUGGGAUAACUUCAGGAAGCUGGGGCUAUUACCGGAUAGGAUCUCCUGCUGCGUGGUGGGGGAUGGAGAGUUUCGGCGGUUGGGGAUGGUCUCGCUGCUUAUCAGCUUGUUUGUGUGGUAGUGGCUUACCAAGGCUUUGACGGGUAGCCGGCCUGGGAGGGUGACCGGGCACAUUGGGACUGAGGUACGGCCCAGAAUCCUACGGGAGGCAGCAGUGGGGAAUAUUGCACAAUGGGCGGACGCCUGAUGCAGCAACGCCGCGUGCGGGAUGACGGCCUUCGGGUUGUAAACCGCUUUCGACUGUGACGAAGCGUGAGUGACGGUAAUGGGUAAAGAAGCAACGGCUAACUACGUG
rnacentral:rRNA from 1 species